CCUGCAGGGGUAGCGCCACGGCCACCCUGCCCGCAGCACAGGGAGCUGGCCUCUGCUGGGGCCGCCUGCCCACGGAGCUGCGCCUGGAACCCAGCCCGCCGUGGCCCCCGAGGACGGGGCGCCUUCCCAGGCGCAGGGUGGACCCCCUAGGAAGGGGCGGACUGACCGAGCCGACGACAGACCUCGGGGGAAGGGCCCCAGCCACGACCGCGGCCGCCGCCUCGGCUUCUGACGUCCCUGUUUCCGACGGCAGGACUGUGCGUCCGUGGAGCGGCGUCCACCAGAAGCGGCCAAGGCGCCGGCUGCCGGCUGGGGACGGGGGUGGGGAUAGUUGGUCUUUCACACAUUUUUUUUAAGCAGGGAUUAAUCCUACGGCCAUUUUUUUGUGGUACUUUGGCCUCUGAUCUUUACCAGGAAUCACUGUGUUUACAUGAAACGACAAUUUGAUACUGUAUUUGAUAGAAAACUAUUUUUUGUUACCGGGGUUUACGUGGCACGGGGUGGCUUGGGGGGCAUACUCUUGGGGAACUCGGCAGCACUCUCUGAGCCCACCCGGCCCCAGGUGCAGGGGAGGGGUCCCCCGGGAGAAUCAGGCAGCGUUGCUACAGACCGGCAGUGAAAAUCCAAGGAAAUUCCUUCAUCUGUGUAGGUUAAUUUUCAAAAGAACAUGUAAACUAUAAUUUAAGAGGUUAACCUUUUCUACAGAAAAAUGAGGGGACUCCCGACUUUUUUAACGCUCUCCACUGAUUUGGGUAUUUUUACUGGUUUCACACGUGAAGAUGCAGUUUCCGCAGCUGUCCCCGGGUCCCACGUGGAAGUGCUGUGAGCGCAGGAGCAGAAUUUAUCUUAUUCUACUCAAGGCGAAACUGGAAAGAAAACUCUUCAGCUUCACUGUUUUCUUGUGUGUUUCAGAAACAAGUCCUGUUGUCUGGAAGUGGUUCUCUGUGUCUGGUCGGGGCAGACGUUUCUGUACGUGUGUGUAUAUGUGUUGAUGUGUGUGCGCACGCGCCCAGUGCGGGCGGUGUGUCUAUAGCCUCCAAGCUGCUGGCAGUGGGUCACUGUACGGCCCCCGAGCACCAGGCCGCUGCAGCCCCGCCGCGGGCCCCGGUCAGCGAGCAGGUCAGGCCUCUCUGAACCGCGUGGUAGGCGGCGGGCGAGCUCUGCGGCUCUUCGCUGAAGUGUGUAAGUUAUUUGGAAAACGAUGAGUCACCUCAUUUACUUAAUAUAUUGACUGUUCAGACACCGUUCCUGCCGUCUCAGCCUGGGAUUGGCCCCGUUUCUGUGAUCUCUUCCUCAUAAAGGCACUUUAAAACUUCGUGUUUCAGCCACUGUUUUUUUUUUUUUUCCCCUAA
rnacentral:lncRNA from 1 species